rnacentral:rRNA from 1 species
AGAGUUUGAUCCUGGCUCAGGACGAACGCUGGCGGUGUGCUUCACACAUGCAAGUCGAACGGGGUAGCAAUACCCAGUGGCGGACGGGUGAGUAACACGUGGGAAUCUACCAUAAGGUGGGGGAUAGCAGACCGAAAGGUCUAUUAAUACCGCAUAUGUAGGCAUCUCGACAGAGAUGUUUAUGAAAGGAGUAAUCCGCCUUUUGAUGAGCCCGCGUCCGAUUAGCUAGUUGGUAGGGUAAAAGCCUACCAAGGCGACGAUCGGUAGGUGGUCUGAGAGGAUGAUCACCCACAAUGGGACUGAGACACGGCCCAUACUCCUACGGGAGGCAGCAGUGGGGAAUUUUACGCAAUGGGGGAAACCCUGACGUAGCGACACCGCGUGAGCGAAGAAGCCCUUUGGGGUGUAAAGCUCUGUCAACGGGAACGAAAUCAAUGACGGUACCCGUGGAGGAAGCAUCGGCUAACUACGUGCCAGCAGCCGCGGUAAGACGUAGGAUGCAAGCGUUGUCCGGAUUUAUUGGGCGUAAAGAGUUCGUAGGCUGUUUGUUAAGUCUGAUGUUAAAGACUGGGGCUCAACCUCGGAAAUGCAUUGGAUACUGGCAGACUGGAGUGCAGUAGAGGCUAGUGGAAUUCCCAGUGUAGCGGUGAAAUGCGUAGAUAUUGGGAAGAACACCGGUGGCGUAGGCGACUAGCUGGGCUGUAACUGACGCUGAGGAACGAAAGCCAGGGGAGCGAAGGGAUUAGAUACCCUGGUAGUCC